rnacentral:rRNA from 1 species
GUCGAGAAUAAUUCACAAUGGACGAAAGUCUGAUGGUGCAACGCCGCGUGGAGGAUGACGGUCUUCGGAUUGUAAACUCCUGUCAUCCGGGAGUAAGACCUGGCUGUGAAUAGCAGACAGGGUUGAUAGUACCGGAAGAGGAAGGGACGGCUAACUUCGUGCCAGCAGCCGCGGUAAUACGAAGGUCCCGAGCGUUGUUCGGAAUCACUGGGCGUAAAGGGAGCGUAGGCGGCGUGGUAAGUCAGAUGUGAAAUCCCGGGGCUCAACCCCGGAACUGCAUCCGAUACUGCCGUGCUAGAGGAUUGGAGAGGUAGCUGGAAUUCUUGGUGUAGCAGUGAAAUGCGUGGAGAGCAAGAGGAACACUCGUGGCGAAAGCGAGCUACUGGACAAUAUCUGACGCUGAGGCUCGAAGGCCAGGGUAGCGAAAGGGAUUAGAAACCCGGGUAGUCC